AAGUCGUAACAAGGUUUCCGUAGGUGAACCUGCGGAAGGAUCAUUACUGAGAUGGGGGGUCCUUCGGGGGCCCGACCUCCAACCCUAAUGGUCUACCGGUCCUUGGUUGCUUCGGCGGCGCCGCUCUCGGUAUGACCCUAGAGAUGGGACAUUUCGAGACCGUCGGCUCCUUUACCGGGGGCUUCGAGUGCCCGCCGGGGGAUUAAGGACACAACUCUUUACGAACCCGAUCUAAUAUUGUUUUAUAAACUUCAAAA
rnacentral:misc_RNA from 1 species